rnacentral:misc_RNA from 1 species
GAUGAAGAACGGAGCGAAAUGCGAUAAGUAGUGUGAAUUGCAGAAUUCAGUGAAUCAUCGAAUCUUUGAACGCACAUUGCGCCUCCUGGUAUUCCGGGAGGCAUGCCUGUUCGAGCGUCAUCAAAAACCUCAACCCAUGAUUUAUUGUGAGUUGGUUCUGCAUUGGACUCCUUGUGGGUCCUUUGCGAAAUCCAAUGGCGAAGAGCCACGCAACCAAAGCGUAGUAUAACUAUUUCGUUAUGGAAGCGUGGGUGCCUCUGCCGUAACCCCCAAUUUCUUAGUUUUUGACCUCGGAUCAGGUAGGGAUACCCGCUGAACUUAAGCAUAUCAAUAAGCGGAGGA